rnacentral:rRNA from 1 species
GAUGAACGCUGGCGGCGUGCCUAAUACAUGCAAGUCGAGCGAACGGACGAGAAGCUUGCUUCUCUGAUGUUAGCGGCGGACGCGGGAGUAACACGUGGAUAACCUACCUCUAAGACUGGGAUAACUUCGGGAAACCGGAGCUAAUACCGGAUGAAUUUUUGAACCGCAUUGUUCAAAAGUGAAAGACGGUCUUGCCGUCACUUAUAGAUUGAUCCGCGCUGCAUUAGCUAGUUGGUAAGGUAACGGCUUACCAAGGCAACGAUGCAUAGCCGACCUGAGAGGGGGAUCGGCCACACUGGAACUGAGACACGGUCCAGACUCCUACGGGAGGCAGCAGUAGGGAAUCUUCCGCAAUGGGCGAAAGCCUGACGGAGCAACGCCGCGUGAGUGAUGAAGGUCUUCGGAUCGUAAAACUCUGUUAUUAGGGAAGAACAUAUGUGUAAGUAACUGUGCACAUCUUGACGGUACCUAAUCAGAAAGCCACGGCUAACUACGUG